rnacentral:rRNA from 1 species
UACAGAGGAGGCAAGCGUUGUUCGGAAUUACUGGGCGUAAAGGGCGCGUAGGCGGCCUUCUAAGUCGAACGUGAAAUCCCCAGGCUCAACCCGGGAACUGCGUCCGAUACUGGAAGGCUUGAAUCCGGGAGAGGGAUGCGGAAUUCCAGGUGUAGCGGUAAAAUGCGUAGAUAUCUGGAGGAACACCGGUGGCGAAGGCGGCAUCCUGGACCGGCAUUGACGCUGAGGCGCGAAAGCCAGGGGAGCAAACGGG